UACGUAGGGGGCAAGCGUUGUCCGGAUUUACUGGGCGUAAAGAGCGUGUAGGCGGCCUUACAGGUCAGCUGUGAAAACUCGAGGCUCAACCUCGAGACGUCGGUUGAAACCGUAUGGCUAGAGUCCGGAAGAGGAGAGUGGAAUUCCCGGUGUAGCGGUGAAAUGCGCAGAUAUCGGGAAGAACACCCGUGGCGAAGGCGGCUCUCUGGGACGGUACUGACGCUGAGACGCGAAAGCGUGGGGAGCGAACAGG
rnacentral:rRNA from 1 species